rnacentral:rRNA from 1 species
GACGAACGCUGGCGGCGUGCUUAACACAUGCAAGUCGAACGAUGAACCCGGAGCUUGCUCCGGUGGAUUAGUGGCGAACGGGUGAGUAACACGUGAGUAACCUGCCCUUGACUCUGGGAUAACUGCGGGAAACUGUAGCUAAUACCGGAUACGACCCUCGGCGGCAUCGCCAGGGGGUGGAAAGAAUUUCGGUCAAGGAUGGACUCGCGGCCUAUCAGCUAGUUGGUGAGGUAACGGCUCACCAAGGCGACGACGGGUAGCCGGCCUGAGAGGGGGUCCGGCGACACUGGGACUUAGACACGGCCCAGACUCCUGCGGGAGGAAGCAGGGAGGAAUAUUGCACAAUGGGCGCAAGCCUGAUGCAGCGACGCCGAGUGAGGGAUGACGGCCUUCGGGUUGUAAACCUCUUUUAGUAGUGAAGAAGCGAAAGUGACGGUACCUGCAGAAAAGGCACCGGCUAACUACGUGCCAGCCGCCGCCGUAA